rnacentral:lncRNA from 1 species
GUGAAUCAUUAAUUGAAUGAAGUUUUGUUUUAUUGUUAUAAAUUAUUGAUUAUUAUUUUAAAUCGAGAGAUUCAAUUUGUCUUUCAAAUACAAAUAUUAUUAUAGUCAAUUCAGUUAUGACUUGUGACAAUCUAGAAUUGUUGAAAAUUUUGAGAAAUAUAAACUUCGGUCCCAUGUUAAUGAACAUUAUGAGGCGGAAAUUGCAAAGUCUCUUGAAGAUAUUGAGUUUGGGGGAGAGAUAUGGUAAAAGAACAAAAUUGAGUGAGGAAGAAUUGGUUCUAAAUCAAUUCAUAUAGUUACUAUUUAUAUAGUAAAUUUGGG